ensembl:snoRNA
CACAAAUGAUGAACUUAAUGACGGGCGGACAGAGACUCUGUGCUGAAUGUCAUGUUCUGAUUUG